AUCCUGGCUCAGAUUGAACGCUGGCGGCAUGCCUUACACAUGCAAGUCGAACGGCAGCACGGGAGCAAUCCUGGUGGCGAGUGGCGAACGGGUGAGUAAUAUAUCGGAACGUGCCCAGUAGUGGGGGAUAACUGCUCGAAAGAGCAGCUAAUACCGCAUACGACCUGAGGGGUGAAAGGGGGGGAUCGCAAGACCUCUCGCUAUUGGAGCGGCCGAUAUCAGAUUAGCUAGUUGGUGGGGUAAAGGCCUACCAAGGCAACGAUCUGUAGUUGGUCUGAGAGGACGACCAGCCACACUGGGACUGAGACACGGCCCAGACUCCUACGGGAGGCAGCAGUGGGGAAUUUUGGACAAUGGGCGCAAGCCUGAUCCAGCAAUGCCGCGUGCAGGAAGAAGGCCUUCGGGUUGUAAACUGCUUUUGUCAGGGAAGAAAUCCUCUAGGUUAAUACCCUUGGGGGGAUGAC
rnacentral:rRNA from 1 species